GCCAUCUUUUAAAAGAGUUUGUGAGGGUCUCCUGCAGCUAUAGAGGAGAUAUCUAGCUGUGAUUUACCCACUUUGAACCAGGGAAAAGUGGCCUUGAGGUCUGAGAUAGCAGGUUCUCGAACUCCUUGGGGUUAAGUUGGGGACCAGGGAGGCUAGCUUGGAAGGUACUCCAACUAAGGUUCGCAGCGGGCUUGCAACGGACCUUCGGAUUACCUCCGGCUGAUACGUGAGGGAUUUUGCAAGCUUAACUUGAGCAGGAUUGAGACCUAGUGGAGCUGAACUUUGGGACUCCUUGGACUGAUUUGGAG